rnacentral:lncRNA from 13 species
ACACGUGGAAAUUGCCCUCGUGAGGUCGCAACAAUUGUGGAGCGGUGGGUGAUGAAGUUGCCCUAGAGAUGAUCCCAGCCAUGGGGACAGAGCAAGAUCAGCUAACCCUGACUUAGAGGGUCAGGCCAGGCUCCUCCGAGAAAGUGUCUGCUGGGGACUGGGGCAGAGGAAGUUCACUGGGUGAUAGGGACGAGUGGGAACAUGCUGGAGGAAGAGAAAACAGCCUGUGCAAAGGCAAGGAGAAGCUUGAGGAACGGAGAGGAUGUCACCUUCCGGAUCCACCUCAACCACUCAGGGAGCCACUCAGCUUCCUCAACAGCAUGGAGUAGAUGGCUUUCAUCUUCGCUUUUGCCACCAGUGGAGGUUUUAAGGGCAAACAGAAAUUCAUGUGAAUUGUCCUUCUACAGUAACUGAUGAAAGUAUUAUAGCUACUUUUGAUUAUCCAUUCAGGUUAAAUCAGGCAUCAUUUCAUUCUCUCCCAGGUUUUAAUGUGUAUGAUGUAAACUGGAAAGUUAAGUCCUCCUAGGAGAUGACUCUUCUGCACAAUUCUGUGACAUUUGCAGUCUCUGUCUUCCUGUACUGCAUUUCUGUCCUGCUUUCUGUUGGUUACAAGAACCUGUAUCAGGAUAGUCAUAAACUUCGCAUGAGUGCCAUCGUUUGCAGCUGGCAAGCACUUCAACCUGGGCAAAAGCUGCUGCAGAUAUUAAAAUAGCUACUGGUCACAUUAUUGUUCAUGAACUUCUGCUUGUAAGAAAUCAUGAUGAUGUGUUAUUAGGAAUCCCAUGUGACUGGCAUGGAAUUCCUAAAUGUGUCUGUGAUCUUUGUCUUUCUGCAUAUGAUACUUUGGAGAGGAAAUGCUUGGUAUGUGUACAAGUACCAGGAGACCGGCUUACACAAUCCAUCAAAUACUUCUGCUCCUCAUAGCCAAGGAGGUAUUCCACCUCCUGCAGGAAUGUAAUUAAGGGAGAAACACACUGAAUGAAAUAUAUUUCUAUAUCAUGUUGCCACCUUCUUGAGGAGCAUUCUUUGUUUCUAAUAAAAGUAAUGGCUUUGUCUUUUAAGCCUCA